rnacentral:rRNA from 1 species
UUAAUUGAAGAGUUUGAUCAUGGCUCAGAUUGAACGCUGGCGGCAGGCCUAACACAUGCAAGUCGAGCGGUAACAGAUUGAUAGCUUGCUAUCAAUGCUGACGAGCGGCGGACGGGUGAGUAAUGCCUGGGAAUAUACCUCAGUGUGGGGGAUAACUAUUGGAAACGAUAGCUAAUACCGCAUAAUCUCCGAUCUUUUACGAGAUGGGAGCAAAGAGGGGGACCUUCGGGCCUCUCGCGUCAGGAUUAGCCCAGGUGGGAUUAGCUAGUUGGUGGGGUAAUGGCUCACCAAGGCGACGAUCCCUAGCUGGUCUGAGAGGAUGAUCAGCCACACUGGAACUGAGACACGGUCCAGACUCCUACGGGAGGCAGCAGUGGGGAAUAUUGCACAAUGGGGGAAACCCUGAUGCAGCCAUGCCGCGUGUAUGAAGAAGGCCUUCGGGUUGUAAAGUACUUUCAGUUGUGAGGAAGGCAGUUAAGUUAAUAGCUUAGCUGUUUGACGUUAGCAACAGAAGAAGCACCGGCUAACUCCGUGCCAGCAGCCGCGGUAAUACGGAGGGUGCGAGCGUUAAUCGGAAUUACUGGGCGUAAAGCGCAUGCAGGCGGUCUGUUAAGCAAGAU